rnacentral:rRNA from 1 species
UACAGAGGUCCCAAGCGUUGUUCGGAUUCAUUGGGCGUAAAGGGUGCGUAGGCGGCGCGGUAAGUCGGGUGUGAAAUCUCGGGGCUUAACUCCGAAACUGCAUUCGAUACUGCCGUGCUUGAGGACUGGAGAGGAGACUGGAAUUUACGGUGUAGCGGUGAAAUGCGUAGAUAUCGUAAGGAAGACCAGUGGCGAAGGCGGAUCUCUGGACAGUUACUGACACUGAGGCACGAAGGCCAGGGGAGCAAACGGG